rnacentral:rRNA from 1 species
UUUAAAUUGCUGUAGUAUUUUGACCAUACAAAGGUAUUGUAAUAAGGUUUUAAUUGAAUGCUAAAAGAAUGGAAUUACAGGGAAAAGUUUUUUUAAAUUUAAUAAUUGAAGUUAUUUUAAUUUGUGAAGAAACAAUUAUAUAAAUUAAAGACAAGAAGACCCUAAGAAUUUAAGAAUUUUUAUUAAUAUAUUAUAUGUAUAUAUAUAUAUAAAUAAAAUUCUUAGUUGGGGCAACUAAAAAAUAUAUUAAACUUUUUUUUUUAAAAAAAUGACCCAUUAUUAAUGAUAAUAUGAAAAAAAUACUCUAGGGAUAACAGCGUAAUAAUUUUUGAUAGAUCUUAUAGACAAAAUAGUUUGCGACCUCGAUGUUGGAUUAGGAUACUUUUUUAAUGAAGAUGUUAAAAAAAGAAGUUUGUUCAACUUUUAAAUUCCUACUUGAUCUGAGUUCAGACCGG